UGAGCGCGCCUGUCAAGCUGCAAGAACCUGACCUUUUGACCUGGGCUACGUGACAUUGGCAUUCUCUCUAUCGCAUUUAGCAAUAAGUUACAGUUGUUGAGCACAGUUGAUGUACGUUUUUUGGCUCUGAUCGAUCGGGACGAAUGGCAUCGUCAGCCAUCAUCAGGUCGACAUGGGGAUGGGGAGGAAGAAGAUGCGAAUUCCGAUGGCUUGCAGCUUACAGGAGGCUGUGAAAAAAAUGUUUGAUCAAAUAUUUAAGACAAAGUGGUAAAGUAAAUAUAAGAGCAGUAGCGUACUCCGCAACAUAUGCGCGAU
rnacentral:lncRNA from 1 species